rnacentral:rRNA from 1 species
GGCGGCAGGCCUAACACAUGCAAGUCGAGCGGUAACAGAAAGUAGCUUGCUACUUUGCUGACGAGCGGCGGACGGGUGAGUAAUGCUUGGGAACAUGCCUUGAGGUGGGGGACAACAGUUGGAAACGACUGCUAAUACCGCAUAAUGUCUACGGACCAAAGGGGGCUUCGGCUCUCGCCUUUAGAUUGGCCCAAGUGGGAUUAGCUAGUUGGUGAGGUAAUGGCUCACCAAGGCGACGAUCCCUAGCUGGUUUGAGAGGAUGAUCAGCCACACUGGGACUGAGACACGGCCCAGACUCCUACGGGAGGCAGCAGUGGGGAAUAUUGCACAAUGGGCGCAAGCCUGAUGCAGCCAUGCCGCGUGUGUGAAGAAGGCCUUCGGGUUGUAAAGCACUUUCAGUCAGGAGGAAAGCGUGGUGGUUAAUACCCAUCAUGUGUGACGUUACUGACAGAAGAAGCACCGGCUAACUCCGUGCCAGCAGCCGCGGUAAUACGGAGGGUGCGAGCGUUAAUCGGAAUUACUGGGCGUAAAGCGUACGCAGGCGGUUUGUUAAGCGAGAUGUGAAAGCCCCGGGCUCAACCUGGGAACUGCAUUUCGAACUGGCAAACUAGAGUGUGAUAGAGGGUGGUAGAAUUUCAGGUGUAGCGGUGAAAUGCGUAGAGAUCUGAAGGAAUACCGAUGGCGAAGGCAGCCACCUGGGUCAACACUGACGCUCAUGUACGAAAGCGUGGGGAGCAAACGGGAUUAGAUACCCCGGUAGUCCACGCCGUAAACGAUGUCUACUAGAAGCUCGGAGCCUCGGUUCUGUUUUUCAAAGCUAACGCAUUAAGUAGACC